AACGAACGCUGGCGGCAUGCCUAACACAUGCAAGUCGAACGAGACCUUCGGGUCUAGUGGCGCACGGGUGCGUAACGCGUGGGAACCUGCCCUUAGGUUCGGAAUAACUCCCCGAAAGGGGUGCUAAUACAGGAUAAUGUCCUCGGACCAAAGAUUUAUCGCCUUUGGAUGGGCCCGCGUUGGAUUAGCUAGUUGGUAGGGUAAAAGCCUACCAAGGCGACGAUCCAUAGCUGGUCUGAGAGGAUGAUCAGCCACACUGGGACUGAGACACGGCCCAGACUCCUACGGGAGGCAGCAGUGGGGAAUAUUGGACAAUGGGCGAAAGCCUGAUCCAGCAAUGCCGCGUGAGUGAUGAAGGCCUUAGGGUUGUAAAGCUCUUUUACCCGGGAUGAUAAUGACAGUACCGGGAGAAUAAGCUCCGGCUAACUCCGUG
rnacentral:rRNA from 1 species